GAACGCUGGCGGCGUGCCUAACACAUGCAAGUCGAGCGCGAAAGUUCCCUUCGGGGGGCGAGUAGAGCGGCGGACGGGUGAGUAACGCGUGAGCAACCUGCCCCUUAGCCCGGGAUAACACCGGGAAACCGGUGCUAAUCCCGGAUGAGCUCUUUUUAUUGCAUAGUAAAAAGAGCAAAGGAGGCCUCUCUAAAGAAGCUUCCGCUAAGGGAUGGGCUCGCGUCCCAUUAGCUAGUUGGUGAGGUAACGGCUCACCAAGGCGACGAUGGGUAGCCGGCCUGAGAGGGUGAUCGGCCACACUGGGACUGAGACACGGCCCAGACUCCUACGGGAGGCAGCAGUGGGGAAUAUUGGGCAAUGGGGGAAACCCUGACCCAGCAACGCCGCGUGAGCGAAGAAGGCCUUCGGGUCGUAAAGCUCUGUCAUCGGGGAAGAAGUCUUUAGUCUUAAUAGGGCUAGAGGUGACGGUACCCGAGGAGGAAGCCACGGCUAACUACGUGCCAGCAGCCGCGGUAAUACGUAGGUGGCGAGCGUUGUCCGGAAUCACUGGGCGUAAAGGGCGCGUAGGCGGUCUGGCAAGUCAGGAGUG
rnacentral:rRNA from 1 species